rfam:Fukomys damarensis contig124478, whole genome shotgun sequence.
GACGCUUCGUGACGGGAAGGACUGAAAUGUCCCUGGACGCCUGGUCUUUCCCUGAUGCUCUCGCGGC